rnacentral:rRNA from 1 species
UACAGAGGGGGCAAGCGUUAUUCGGAAUUAUUGGGCGUAAAGGGCGCGUAGGCGGCUUGGCAAGUGGAAGGUGAAAUCCCUCGGCUUAACCGAGGAACUGCCCUCCAAACUGCUUGGCUUGAGACCGGGAGAGGUGAGUGGAAUUCCCAGUGUAGCGGUGAAAUGCGUAGAUAUUGGGAGGAACACCAGUGGCGAAGGCGGCCCACUGGACCGGUACUGACGCUGAUGCGCGAAAGCGUGGGGAGCAAACGGG